CCUUCGAUAGCUCAGUUGGUAGAGCGGUGGACUGUAGUGGUUUGUAAGUGUACUGCAUAGAUAUCCAUAGGUCGCUGGUUCAAAUCCGGCUCGAAGGA
rnacentral:tRNA from 1 species